UACGUAGGGUGCGAGCGUUGUCCGGAAUUAUUGGGCGUAAAGAGCUUGUAGGCGGUUUGUCGCGUCUGCCGUGAAAAUCCGGGGCUCAACCCCGGACUUGCGGUGGGUACGGGCAGGACUAGAGUGUGGUAGGGGAGACUGGAAUUCCUGGUGUAGCGGUGAAAUGCGCAGAUAUCAGGAGGAACACCGGUGGCGAAGGCGGUGGUCUGGGCCGGCACUGACGCUGAGGAGCGAAAGCGUGGGGAGCGAACAGG
rnacentral:rRNA from 1 species